UACGAAGGGGGCUAGCGUUGCUCGGAAUCACUGGGCGUAAAGCGCACGUAGGCGGCUUACUAAGUCAGGGGUGAAAUCCUGGAGCUCAACUCCAGAACUGCCUUUGAUACUGGUGAGCUUGAGUCCGGAAGAGGUGAGUGGAACUGCGAGUGUAGAGGUGAAAUUCGUAGAUAUUCGCAAGAACACCGGUGGCGAAGGCGGCUACACUGGUCCGGUACUGACGCUGAGGUGCGAAAGCGUGGGGAGCAAACAGG
rnacentral:rRNA from 1 species